AUUGCUGCCAUGACUCUGCUUUAGGUCAUGACUCUAUUUUAGUCUCUUAUCUGAUUUUGACCUCUAUUUCUUCCUCUCUUUUUUUUUUAUCUAGAAUCAGCAUGGUCCUCUUUAUCCUCCUUUUUACUAACCCACUGGCAGCCUAGUAAGUUUUUUGUGCUUUAGUUUCUGAAAUUUGUCUAAUACAAGUCUGAUUAAGUUUUGGUGUUUGGUAUGUGAUUGCUUGGUUAGUAUUCAAAUCUGUAUUGAAUUGUAGAUAUAACAUGUUAGUUACAAGAUUUUGAUUCGUCAAUAACUUGAUACAAGGUAAGAUUUCUUAUUAAUGAAGCAUUAAAGUUUGUACUCAACGUUUCAGUGGCUUAAUUGGUUUUGUACUUGAACUCUAGCUCUACAAGUUAUGGGACUCUUAAGGCUUUUGUUUUUCAGGCCCUACUUUUUCAUCUAUGAAAUUUCAUGACGGUUACUCUCUUUCUUGUUUACUUUGAUUUUUUUAGACUUACGUACUCUUUCUAAUUUCUAAUGUAGGGUGUUGAUAUUCAACUUGGAAUGGCAAUUGAUAGUAUAAAAGAAGUGUGGGAUGCAACUGCAGCUGAUCCUAAAUUGCUGGUCUUUUUGAAAUCGUACAGGAAUUUCUUACACACUGAAUCUGGAAUUAAAGCAGUAUCUCACUUUAAGAGUGGAAGUUGGGAAUGCAAGAUUUGAAUCGCUGGAUAGGAUGAAAGAAGAGAGCAAGGAAGCAACUAUGCAGCUAGUUGAUAUGGAGUGCGGUUACCUCACCAUUGAAUUUUUCCGCAAGCUUCCUCAGGAUAUUGAAAAGGGGGAAAUCCGACACACUCACUUUUCGACAGAUAUGGUUGGGCAUUCCUCCUCAACCUAGCAACAAGGAGUGCGGGUACUUUAUCAUGUGCUACAUGAGAGAUAUCAUUGAGGAUAAAGACAUGUCAUUGUUUCUUUCCAAGUGGGAGAGGAGAGGCAGCAACUAAUACACCCAAGCGGAUAUUGAUCAAGUGCGAAAUGAAUGGGGGAAGUUUUUUGUCAACACUUAUGUGCAUGAGCCAUGAAGUAGCGCGCUUGUUGCUGGUCCAUUUUUGCUAAGGAAAGCAUCUUUUUUUGUGCUUCACUGUUGGCCCAUUUUCAUGCACCAUGUGUGGCAUGUUUUGAAAAAAUAGAUACAUAUGUAUCAGCUUUUUGAUGUCCCAAGUAGAUGGGCACGCACUAAAUGCUUUUCUUGUUUAAAAUGUUGG